rnacentral:rRNA from 1 species
UACAGAGGUGGCAAGCGUUGUUCGGAAUUACUGGGCGUAAAGGGCGCGUAGGCGGGUCUCCAAGUCGGUGGUGAAAUCUUUCAGCUCAACUGGAAAAGUGCCGCCGAUACUGGGGAUCUCGAGGGAGGUAGGGGUCGAUGGAACUAAUGGUGGAGCGGUGAAAUGCGUAGAUAUCAUUAGGAACGCCGGUGGCGAAAGCGAUCGACUGGACCUCUUCUGACGCUGAGGCGCGAAAGCCAGGGGAGCAAACGGG